CUGCCGGUGACAAACCGGAGGAAGGUGGGGAUGACGUCAGGUCAUCAUGGCCCUUACGGCCAGGGCUACACACGUACUACAAUGGUCGGUACAGAGGGUCGCCAACCCGCGAGGGGGAGCCAAUCCCAGAAAGCCGAUCGUAGUCCGAAUCGGAGUCUGCAACUCGACUCCGUGAAGUCGGAAUCGCUAGUAAUCGCCGAUCAGCAUUUGCGGCGGUGAAUACGUUCCCGGGCCUUGUACACACCGCUCGUCA
rnacentral:rRNA from 14 species